rnacentral:lncRNA from 1 species
UUGUUGGGUGAAAUUAGGCUGCUGGAAUUUGGGCAUUCUUGGCCGAUUCAAGUUAUUGACAGAUUAGCACUCUUUCUUUACUUCCAAAUUCGUUCAAUUUCAUUAAUUUUUUUCUUUUCUUUUGUCGCCCAAAUCCCUAAUUUUCUAUUAAAGAUCUGAUUGAUUUAAUUCGUUGCUGUUUAGUGAUCUUGAACAGAUUCGGCUUGUGGAGAAUUGAUCUUGGAGUUCGAUUU